AACCUUGGCCCGUUAUCCGGGUUGGGGACAGUGUAUGGUAGGCAGUUUGACUGGGGCGGUCUCCUCCCAAAGCGUAACGGAGGAGUUCGAAGGUACGCUAGGCACGGUCGGAAAUCGUGCUGAUAGUGCAUUGGCAUAAGCGUGCUUGACUGCGAGACUGACAAGUCGAGCAGGUACGAAAGUAGGACAAAGUGAUCCGGUGGUUCUGUAUGGAAGGGCCAUCGCUCAACGGAUAAAAGGUACUCUCUGGAUAACAGGCUGAUACCGCCCAAGAGUUCAUAUCGACGGCGGUGUUUGGCACCUCGAUGUCGGCUCAUCUCAUCCUGGGGCUGUAGCCGGUCCCAAGGGUAUGGCUGUUCGCCAUUUAAAGAGGUACGUGAGCUGGGUUUAAAACGUCGUGAGACAGUCG
rnacentral:rRNA from 1 species